AUGAUAGACCCCAAAGUUAAAGAACUGUUCGUGCCUUAAGCUGUUGUCAAACCUGGGUGGCAGCUGGUGCAGCAGACCCAGGCCCAGGGCAAGGACGCCAGGCUGAAGUCACUUGUUGACAUGAUAAGGCUUUUCUGCCAAGCAGAACCACAGGCACGCCACAGCGUCGCACCACAUGGGGCACCACGAUGGUCUAACAGCUCUCUCCCACGUCUGCAAUCCCGGUGAAUUGGGUAUCUCUGCGCACGCGAUCCUGCGAUAACUUCACAAAGUGGAAUUGCUGAGUCGAAGAGCCAAAAGCUGACAUGAAUCAUCUUCCCAGUGGACUGGGAGAUUAGGGACAUGUCUGGGAAGCAGUAGGAUCGCCCCUAAAAUAUUAUAAUAAAAACUGUCCAUUUGCCCAA